UAGCGCGGUGGGUUCAUUUGGCUGCAGCUGGCUGUUGACCUCGGCGUUGAUAUUGGCGGGAAGCGAUGAACUUCUGUGUGGGCUCGCUGGCUGACGAUCGUUGCUGGUGGAUUAACUCCCUCUCGAGACUGGAGCCAGGGCGGGCCUACCCCAGCCGAGUGUGCUGUGCUCCCAGAGCAGCCGAAGUAGCCUCGUGAUCCACUUUUUGUUGCACCUCGGUCGCACUCCCAGCUCGAAGGUGAGAGCGCCUCUGAACACUCUGACCUGGAGCAUGGCACCCUGAAUGAAUCAGCUUCGCUGUCCGACCACCUCCACAGCGUGGAUUGGAGACACCAAUACUUUCAACCCUGCACCUCUUCAGCCUCAUUAUGGCCGGCGAGGCCACCUCGCCCUCAUCGUCUAUGGCACUUGGACCAACAUGGC